UUAAGUUAUUAAGGGCGCACGGUGGAUGCCUUGGCACUAGAAGCCGAUGAAGGACGUUACUAACGACGAUAUGCUUUGGGGAGCUGUAAGUAAGCUUUGAUCCAGAGAUUUCCGAAUGGGGAAACCCAGCAUGAGUUAUGUCAUGUUAUCGAUAUGUGAAUACAUAGCAUAUCAGAAGGCACACCCGGAGAACUGAAACAUCUUAGUACCCGGAGGAAGAGAAAGAAAAUUCGAUUCCCUUAGUAGCGGCGAGCGAAACGGGAAGAGCCCAAACCAACAAGCUUGCUUGUUGGGGUUGUAGGACACUCUAUACGGAGUUACAAAGGACGACAUUAGACGAAUCAUCUGGAAAGAUGAAUCAAAGAAGGUAAUAAUCCUGUAGUCGAAAAUGUUGUCUCUCUUGAGUGGAUCCUGAGUACGACGGAGCACGUGAAAUUCCGUCGGAAUCUGGGAGGACCAUCUCCUAAGGCUAAAUACUCUCUAGUGACCGAUAGUGAACCAGUACCGUGAGGGAAAGGUGAAAAGCACCCCGGAAGGGGAGUGAAAUAGAACCUGAAACCGUGUGCUUACAAGUAGUCAGAGCCCGUUAAUGGGUGAUGGCGUGCCUUUUGUAGAAUGAACCGGCGAGUUACGAUUUGAUGCAAGGUUAAGCAGUAAAUGUGGAGCCGUAGCGAAAGCGAGUCUGAAUAGGGCGUUUAGUAUUUGGUCGUAGACCCGAAACCAGGUGAUCUACCCUUGGUCAGGUUGAAGUUCAGGUAACACUGAAUGGAGGACCGAACCGACUUACGUUGAAAAGUGAGCGGAUGAACUGAGGGUAGGGGAGAAAUUCCAAUCGAACCUGGAGAUAGCUGGUUCUCUCCGAAAUAGCUUUAGGGCUAGCCUCAAGUGAUGAUUAUUGGAGGUAGAGCACUGUUUGGACGAGGGGCCCCUCUCGGGUUACCGAAUUCAGACAAACUCCGAAUGCCAAUUAAUUUAACUUGGGAGUCAGAACAUGGGUGAUAAGGUCCGUGUUCGAAAGGGAAACAGCCCAGACCACCAGCUAAGGUCCCAAAAUAUAUGUUAAGUGGAAAAGGAUGUGGCGUUGCCCAGACAACUAGGAUGUUGGCUUAGAAGCAGCCAUCAUUUAAAGAGUGCGUAAUAGCUCACUAGUCGAGUGACACUGCGCCGAAAAUGUACCGGGGCUAAACAUAUUACCGAAGCUGUGGAUUGUCCUUUGGACAAUGGUAGGAGAGCGUUCUAAGGGCGUUGAAGCAUGAUCGUAAGGACAUGUGGAGCGCUUAGAAGUGAGAAUGCCGGUGUGAGUAGCGAAAGACGGGUGAGAAUCCCGUCCACCGAUUGACUAAGGUUUCCAGAGGAAGGCUCGUCCGCUCUGGGUUAGUCGGGUCCUAAGCUGAGGCCGACAGGCGUAGGCGAUGGAUAACAGGUUGAUAUUCCUGUACCACCUAUAAUCGUUUUAAUCGAUGGGGGGACGCAGUAGGAUAGGCGAAGCGUGCGAUUGGAUUGCACGUCUAAGCAGUAAGGCUGAGUAUUAGGCAAAUCCGGUACUCGUUAAGGCUGAGCUGUGAUGGGGAGAAGACAUUGUGUCUUCGAGUCGUUGAUUUCACACUGCCGAGAAAAGCCUCUAGAUAGAAAAUAGGUGCCCGUACCGCAAACCGACACAGGUAGUCAAGAUGAGAAUUCUAAGGUGAGCGAGCGAACUCUCGUUAAGGAACUCGGCAAAAUGACCCCGUAACUUCCGGGAGAAGGGGUGCUCUUUAGGGUUAACGCCCAGAAGAGCCGCAGUGAAUAGGCCCAAGCGACUGUUUAUCAAAAACACAGGUCUCUGCUAAACCGUAAGGUGAUGUAUAGGGGCUGACGCCUGCCCGGUGCUGGAAGGUUAAGAGGAGUGGUUAGCUUCUGCGAAGCUACGAAUCGAAGCCCCAGUAAACGGCGGCCGUAACUAUAACGGUCCUAAGGUAGCGAAAUUCCUUGUCGGGUAAGUUCCGACCCGCACGAAAGGCGUAACGAUUUGGGCACUGUCUCAACGAGAGACUCGGUGAAAUCAUAGUACCUGUGAAGAUGCAGGUUACCCGCGACAGGACGGAAAGACCCCGUGGAGCUUUACUGUAGCCUGAUAUUGAAAUUCGGCACAGCUUGUACAGGAUAGGUAGGAGCCUUUGCAACGUGAGCGCUAGCUUACGUGGAGGCGCUGGUGGGAUACUACCCUAGCUGUGUUGGCUUUCUAACCCGCACCACUUUCGGUGGUGGGAGACAGUGUCAGGCGGGCAGUUUGACUGGGGCGGUCGCCUCCUAAAAGGUAACGGAGGCGCUCAAAGGUUCCCUCAGAAUGGUUGGAAAUCAUUCAUAGAGUGUAAAGGCAUAAGGGAGCUUGACUGCGAGACCUACAAGUCGAGCAGGGUCGAAAGACGGACUUAGUGAUCCGGUGGUUCCGCAUGGAAGGGCCAUCGCUCAACGGAUAAAAGCUACCCCGGGGAUAACAGGCUUAUCUCCCCCAAGAGUCCACAUCGACGGGGAGGUUUGGCACCUCGAUGUCGGCUCAUCGCAUCCUGGGGCUGUAGUCGGUCCCAAGGGUUGGGCUGUUCGCCCAUUAAAGCGGUACGCGAGCUGGGUUCAGAACGUCGUGAGACAGUUCGGUCCCUAUCCGUCGUGGGCGUAGGAAAUUUGAGAGGAGCUGUCCUUAGUACGAGAGGACCGGGAUGGACAUACCUCUGGUGUACCAGUUGUCGUGCCAACGGCAUAGCUGGGUAGCUAUGUGUGGACGGGAUAAGUGCUGAAAGCAUCUAAGCAUGAAGCCCCCCUCAAGAUGAGAUUUCCCAACUUCGGUUAUAAGAUCCCUCAAAGAUGAUGAGGUUAAUAGGUUCGAGGUGGAAGCAUGGUGACAUGUGGAGCUGACGAAUACUAAUCGAUCGAAGACUUAAUCAA
rnacentral:rRNA from 1 species